AUUGAACGCUGGCGGCAGGCCUAACACAUGCAAGUCGAACGAGUGGCGGACGGGUGACUAAUGUCUGUGCAACUGCCUGAUGGAGAGGGAUAACUACUGGAAACGGUCGCUAAUACCGCCUACCAUCGGAUGUGCCCAGAUGGGAGUAGCUAGUAGGAGGGGUAAAGGCUCACCUGGGCGACGAGCCCUAGCUGGUCUGAGAGGAUGACCAGCGACACUGGAACUGGGACACGGUCCAGACUCCGACGGGAGGCAGCAGUGGGGAAUAUUGCACAAUGGGCGCAAGCCUGAUGAAGCCAGGCCGGGUGGAUGAAGAAGGACUUCGGGUUGUAAAGUACUUUCAGCUGGGAGGCGUUACCAGCAGAAGAAGCACCGGCUAACUCCGUGCCAGCAGCCGCGGUAAUAC
rnacentral:rRNA from 1 species